UCCGCGGCGGCUUAUUCUUCGCUUGAUUGUGAUUGCCCAGAGGACAGACAUUCGAGAAAGGCAUAUGUCGCCGCUUGCAUCGCAGAUUGUUUGGAUUUGGAUUUUGAAGCAACGGAGAAAAAUUGCAGUUACAACUCAAACACGGGAAAAGUCAUCGUGAAAUAUGAAAAUUUUCAGGAAGACGGAUGUCCAAAAUGCUUCCUCGAUUGGAAAAAUGUAUGAUUUAUUUCGGAAGCGAAUCAGUUUUGUAAUUUUUUUGCAGUCCCAAGUGUACAAGGCAGCUGCUGGUUUCGGUAAAGCGGUUUCAAAUUCUUUUUGAAACAUUUUAUACGUAGUCCUUUAGCUACUUUGGUGUACCGUACGAUUUGUGGCAAAAAGAUCGUUUUCGGAAACGUAGCACUUUCGGCCGACUACGACAUGGGAGCUAUGCUUUGCGGAAUAGUUUGGCCCUCGGAGCGACACUGGCUCCCGAAGGACUGGGACGAGGUGCGCUGCAUCAUCGAAUCCUUGCGUAGGCCUCAAAUUAAACACUGGAAAUCGGAUAAUUUCCUUGUUCGCAGCACAAGAUCUUCAAAGAUUGGCAAAAUUGCGAUUGGUAGCGUACAGAAGCAGCUGCAGUCAGGAAUUCUUCUUCUGCACCACCGACACCCCGCGCUCGUUGCGAAAAUCGUUCCUCUCAGAAGAGCUCGAUAACCAAACACUGGACACAAACGACGCCACGUGCGCCCUUUUUGACUUCAAAAUUAAAAACAAGAAAGCUGUGGACGUCAGGCUCAGAGCCACCGAUUGCAAGGAAAAGGCUUUUAUUAUA